AUUGAACGCUGGCGGCAGGCCUAACACAUGCAAGUCGAACGAGUGGCGAACGGGUGAGUAAUGUCUGGGAAACUGCCUGAUGGAGGGGGAUCACUACUGGAAACGGUAGCUAAUACCGCAUACCAACAGCUGUCCCCAGAUGGGAUUAGCUUGGUGGGGGGGUAACGGCUUACAAAGGCGACGAUCCCUAGCUGGGCUGAGAGACUGACCGGCAAAAUUGGAACUGAGACACGGUCCAAACGCCUACGGGAGGCAGCAGUGGGGAAUAUUGGACAAUGGACGCAAGUCUGAUGGAGCAACGCCGCGUGUAUGAAGAAGGCUUUCGGGUUGUAAAGUACUGUUGUUGGUGAAGCGGUACCCGCAGAGGAAGCACCGGCUAACUCCGUGCCAGCAGCCGCGGUAAUAC
rnacentral:rRNA from 1 species